rnacentral:lncRNA from 1 species
AACAACAACAACAACAACAACAACAACAGCAGCAGCAACAACAACAACAAAAGAUACAGCCACCACAACCACAACAAAAGCAGCCGUUGCCUCAGUCUCAGUCUCAACCUAAUCCGCCACCUACUUUACUUUCUCGUCCAUUGCCAAACGAGUUAAACGAGCCGAACGAGCCGAACGAGCCAGCGAGCCGAAACGAGCCGAGCUCGAGCUCAUAGUUCAGCUCGAU